rnacentral:rRNA from 1 species
UGGGGAAUUUUGGACAAUGGGCGCAAGCCUGAUCCAGCCAUUCCGCGUGCAGGACGAAGGCCUUCGGGUUGUAAACUGCUUUUGUACGGAACGAAAAGGCUCUGGCUAAUACCUGGGGCUCAUGACGGUACCGUAAGAAUAAGCACCGGCUAACUACGUGCCAGCAGCCGCGGUAAUACGUAGGGUGCAAGCGUUAAUCGGAAUUACUGGGCGUAAAGCGUGCGCAGGCGGUUAUGUAAGACAGAGGUGAAAUCCCCGGGCUCAACCUGGGACUGCCUUGGUGACGGCAUAGCUGGAGUACGGCAGAGGGGGAUGGAAUUCCGCGUGUAGCUGUGAAAUGCGUAGAUAUGCGGAGGAACACCGAUGGCGAAGGCAAUCCCCUGGGCCUGUACUGACGCUCAUGCACGAAAGCGUGGGGAGCAAACA